AUUGAACGCUGGCGGCAUGCCUUACACAUGCAAGUCGAACGGCAGCACGGGAGCAAUCCUGGUGGCGAGUGGCGAACGGGUGAGUAAUAUAUCGGAACGUGCCCAGUCGUGGGGAUAACGUAGCGAAAGCUACGCUAAUACCGCAUACGAUCUAUGGAUGAAAGCGGGGGAUCGCAAGACCUCGCGCGAUUGGAGCGGCCGAUAUCAGAUUAGGUAGUUGGUGAGGUAAAGGCUCACCAAGCCGACGAUCUGUAGCUGGUCUGAGAGGACGACCAGCCACACUGGGACUGAGACACGGCCCAGACUCCUACGGAGGCAGCAGUGGGGAAUUUUUGGGACAAUGGGCGCAAGCCUGAUCCAGCAAUGCCGCGUGCAGGAUGAAGGCCUUCGGUUGUAAC
rnacentral:rRNA from 1 species